rnacentral:ncRNA from 1 species
CCUGGGCUGCCAUUUCGCGAUCGGACAGGCCGCCGCAAAGCUGGAUAAUACGGUCAGACAGCGUCGACUUACCGUGGUCAAUGUGAGCGAUGAUCGAAAAGUUGCGUAUGUUCUUCAUAUAUGGAGAUUUUAUGCCUUACGGAAACUAAGAGGCCGCUGUACUGAGCCCACGUCUGUUGUCUGAAACGCCGCAUUCUACACUACAACCCCAACGCGGGGAAAUGCUCAUCCCGCGUACGGCGUGGUAGGCCACGGCGCUGUCUGUUGUACUGUAAAGAUUAAGGCAAAAAGGCGUGAAAUUAUUGACUGGCGUUCGUGUGUGGCGUUUCCACGCGCAGCAUGUCCGGCGGUAAACCCACGCUCAGGAUCACAGGCUGCCACGCGUCCUUUGCGGCCAGUUUCGGGGAAAAAGCGCGCGCCAGCAAAAAGCCGCCCACGCCGCCCACUACCGCGCCGCCCAGCGCCGCGAGAUCGUAACCAAACAGGGUCUGAAACAGGCCGGCUACCGCAAACAUUCCCACCAGCGGCGUCAGAUACACUAACAUUGCGGAGCCAAGCAGGCUGCCUUCGGCAAUGCCCAGCUCGACUUUUUGACCGGCUACCAGGGGCUGGUUGCACGGCACCACCAGCGUAUGCGUGGUUUGUGGCCCCAGCUUGUUGAGCACGCGGGUGCCGCAACCGGAACGCGAGGCGCAGCUGCUGCACGAUGCUUUUACAUCACAGCUUACCAGGGCUUCACCCUGUUCCCAUGAGACGACGGUUGCCCACUCUUUGAUCAUUGUGCUGCCCUGAAUUUAAGACUGUCCGCAAUACG